CGUGAGGAGGGCCGGCGGCGCUCGGUAGGCCACCUCCAAACCGAGCCUGGGCGACGCCUGCAGUAGGGCAGAAAGCGCUGCUGGCUGGCGCGUCCGGCUGCUGGCUCCUACACGCUACCGGUGGCAGGAGCCGGGCGCGCUGCGGUGGCUGCGGGACUCCCGUCCUCCUGGGGACAGUCUGCAAGGUGGGCAGGACUGCAUCCAAUGAACGACGGAAGAGACACAGUGCGCAGUGAGCGGGUCCUUCCAUUUCUUCUUCCACUCAGGGCUCUCGAAAUAAAGGCUGAACAAAUAUUUAAAUGAUUUUAGCUUGAGGUGGUGCCAGCUGUUUGGCCUGACAGGAACAUCCACAGCCUUGUCUCUCUUCCUCCACCCAGGAGGGCGUGUGCCUCUCAGCCCGGAAGCAGACAGGUGACCACACGCAGCAGACUCGUUCUGGAAAGCCUCACAGUGAGCGAGAGGACCGGCGGCUCCCCUGGUGGGAGCUGGAGGCUGGCCCGCGCGGCUGGUGCGCGGUGGUGCACUUGCUCAGGACCCCACGGCACAAUGGGAGCUCAUUCUAGAGUUAAGACGGUGUCUUAGGAAGAAUCAAGAUGAUGACACAGGUGUAACCUCAGUUUCCCAGAGGUCAUGAGGCUGGUGCAGACGUGGUCCAAGUGACAGUAACUCCGAUACUCUCGUGGUUUAAUCCCCACCUGCAAGACUGUGUGGCCUCAGCUCCUUCCAAAGUCUACAUCUACUAUUUACGGCACCUUCAAGGUAGGGUUGCUUACAGUUCGGUGAAUCAUACUCAGGCUAAACGAUGGGUGUGUCAGGCUUCUGUAGUUGGCUACAGAACUCUGUGUCUACCAAUAAUUCAUAUGGAAGCAUAGAAGGCAGAGUGGAUUUUCCAACAUGACCAUGUCAUAUGCUUUCUUCAAACCCUCCACUGGUUCACCACGACUUGUAGAUAAAGACCAAGUUCACAAGCAUGAGUUUAAGCCCUGCUUAGCGAGUCCCCCACCGACCCUCUCAUUCUCAUCUUGCUCCACACUCCUCUCUCACGCGCACCUUGCCCUUCCUGCUGGAGUACUGACACGUGGUCCUCUCUUCCCGGGGCCUCUGUCUCCGCUGCUCACCUGUUAGCCGCAGUCGCACUGCUCGGGAUUGUAGCCGCCAGCCGCAUGUGGCUAUUAAGCAUUUAACAUGCAAUUAGUACAAACUGUAAAACGUACUCUGGAUUUCAGAGAUGUAGCAGAGAAAAAAGAUUAAAAAUAUCUCAAUAAUUCAAAAAUAUUGAUUAUAUGCUGAAAUGAUAAUAUUUAGGAUCUAA